rnacentral:sRNA from 1 species
UCGCCACCCCCACGGCCAGGGACUGGCCCC